UACGAAGGGUGCAAACGUUGCUCGGAAUCAUUGGGCGUAAAGCGCACGUAGGCGGCUCCAAAAGUCGGAUGUGAAAUCCCUCGGCUCAACCGAGGACGUGCAUCCGAAACUGCGGAGCUUGAGUAUGGAAGAGGGUCGCGGAAUCCCCGGUGUAGAGGUGAAAUUCGUAGAUAUCGGGGGGAACACCAGUGGCGAAGGCGGCGACCUGGGCCAAUACUGACGCUGAGGUGCGAAAGCGUGGGGAGCAAACAGG
rnacentral:rRNA from 1 species